rnacentral:snRNA from 1 species
AGAUGUGAGGAUGAGCUGGCUGUGACAUCUGUCAUCCCAUUGAUUGCCAGGGUUGAUUUGGCUGAUCCAGUUGGCUAGGUGGCUGUCCUCUUCAUCCCUCACUGCUCGAUGUGCAUCCCUCUUGAAGCUGUGCACUCAGUUGAAGAGGAUGACCUUCACUAUUAGAGGAGGACUGUUCUUCCUUCAAGGAUAUAUGGAUAGCUCUGCUCCCCUGUUAGAACCUCCAAACAAGCUCUCAAAGAGCCUAUUGUUGAUUACAUGUAUAGUGUCAUCUG